UUUUCUCCGCAUUACCUGCUUGUGGUCUGUUUCUUUCUGUAAGAUUAUCUAGUUUCCUAGUGAAAGCCCCGUAUAAUCCGUGUGAAGGCAAAAGAGGAAUUCCGGCUUUUUUCACCAAAGCUUCUUACUUGACGGCCGCGGCUUAUAUUGUGACAAGGUGGCAUGACACGACUCCCGCUCGCAGUGUCCUUAAUGAAUGUGUGCCUGAUGACACUAGGAUGGAUUAGAGAUGUGCUACAAAGUUUCUUUCCUUCCCGCCUGCACGGGGGUGUUGUGCUCGACAAGUUGCAUUGAAAAAAUGGGAACAGCUGAAUAUUCGACAAAUGACAUGUCAAAGGUUGACAUCGACUGACAGGCAGUGACAAUAAUUCUGUUAGUACCCAACAUUCUCCCAGGAAACCAGUGACAGUUUAACAGCAUUACACAAGUACUGCGCGUUAAAAAUCUAAAGUAAAGCACUCGGUUAGUGAACGUUAAACACAACAGUGACGAGUGAUGUCCCACCCUCAUGCUGACAGUAGACAUCAGCACCACCAAACGUUCUUGGCUGCACGAUGCUUAGCCCGUAUGACGGUUAUUAUUUCUUUUUUUUUUUUUUUACCCUAAAGGGUGAGAUGCAUGCUUAUCUAUUUACACACGCACAAAUCAAAUCAGCCCUCUACAUCCUCCCACUCCCAUCUCUCUUUUCUGACACCAUGACUCUACUCUCAUACCUUUUUCUUUCUUUCUUCAAUAACACCUCUUACUUUAUCCCGUCGUCAUUUUCUCCAGUUCUGUUUCAGGCAACGAGGCCUUGAUACAAUGAUUAUGAUUUUAUUGUACAAACUUUAUGAUUUUAUUUCUGAGCUCACAGCUAAAAUACCCGUACAUCACGCACAGUAUGGAAACUCAAACGAAAAGUAUACGCAAUGAAGAAGCAGAUGAAUGAAACCAUCUUGAUAAAAUCAUCUGCUGAUGACUGGGAGUACCGAUCGUCGUGUGAGUAAGAAAUUUCCUCUCCCCGCUGGCUCCGAGUAAUUUAAGUUUCCACACCCAGAUUCUGAUCUGUUAGUUUUUAAAUUAUGUAAUGCAAUUUGAAUACUAUUUUAUUAUUUUGUUUUUAUUUUUAUUUUAUUUUUAUUUAUUUUUUUUAGAACUUAAGCAGAUCGAAUUGUUCAAACACAAGAGCUGGAUGUAUAAAUGGAAUGAGUGUACGAAUAUGUCAGUUAGGAACGAAAGUGUUAACAGUGACGCUGAGAGUUUACAAACAGAGCUCACCCUAAAAUUGUGGCGGGAAAUAGGUAGCAAGUUUCACUCAGGCCCAUAAUACCAAAGAAAAAAGACGCGCCUGAGUCACGGCAUCUACAUCUGCCCUGGCUGGGAUUGAUAUAUCCUACCAUGGUGGUGUCGAUCGAGGCGAAGUAUGGUGUCAUUUUCUUUUGUUGUUUUAUCCAAAUGUAAUAGAACUCACUUACGUAUUAGAUUUUUGUAAAACUGAGGUACGAGUGAAGGCUGUAUAAAAGGAUAAGUAGUGUUAAGUACAGAGUUACAGAUGUUUAUGUCUAACGGGAGCCAUCUUGAGUACAGAGAAAUUGUCUAUCAGGAAUUCAUUAUCCACUCUCCUUUGAUCCGCCAACGCAGCAGCGCUGGGAUCCGCACCACGAGGUACGAGGAUGCCUCGAACAGGAUUAUCACCUGCCCCCAUGACGUCACUGUGGCCGACACUCUACCGUGACCCCGUCCUGAGCCGUCUGACCGACACGGUCAAGUCCGUACGACAUCCACAGCAGCUUCAGCCGUUGUAGUCAUCUGAUCGACCGAGCUGGAAAUACACCGACACCUGCAGAGAGUAAACCUCCAGAGCGGCAGUUGUCUAGUCCACGGCGGUGAUGUAACCAAGUUUACCUGAACGCUCGAGUCGCCCGCAGGUCAGCGACAUUACAGUGACCUACUGCGCAUGCGCCUCGACAAAACCCAGGAGAGAUGAUGUUACCACGAGCAGGCCUGACGAGAGGGGGGGACAGGGGGGUCUGGUGUACC